rnacentral:lncRNA from 1 species
UACUGUGCAUAUGUUUGGAGAUUGGCCCUAGGGUGUUUGAAUCUAGUGCAUGUAAUAAUUUCUUCUUCCUAUCGUACCUGGUGCGUGCAAAAAUUUCUCUCCUUAUUCCAUCACCUCACAGGUAACACAACCAGACAAAAAUAUAUAUAAAAAGAGAAAGAGAGAGAGAAAAAUGGUUGACUGCCUAUCCCUCGUGCCUCUUGUGACAGCAAUGAAACCCA